GUAUAAUUGGGGGUUCUGCAUCACUUGCUCUCGCGGCGCUCGAGCUGCGCGAUGCAGAAGCCCCCAAUUAUACCGCUUAUGCAGAUCGUAAUGUGAAUAUCGUAUUCAAUAACAAUGCAGUCGAAUAGGUAUUGCGCUCGAUUCGCAACUGCAUUCAACGGGAAUCCGACUCCCUAGUAUCAUGAUGUAAUGCACUGUAGCUUGUUUUGCAUCUGUUGCAUUAUAAUAUGUAAGAGAUUGAUCGUCUAAAUCUAAACUCAUUACACUUGCAUUUAAUAACACUUGUGAGCACGUUUAUUAUCAUGCAUCUGUUAUAACAAAACAUUGCAUCUCAGUUGUAUUCCCCGAAGGAGUAGACCGCUAUGCUUAUGUCCGAUGUAAUAACACUGUAUGAAAUCCUUUCCUUUUUACAAGUUAACAUCACACUAAUAUUAUAAAAUAUGUGAAAGUUUGUUUGGAUAUUUGGAUGUUUGUCCGUCAAUCACGUUGAAACUACUGAACGGAUUUUGAUGAAAUUUGGUAUAGGUACUGACAGAGUAUGAGCUGACUAGGGUGAUAGGAUACUUUUUAUCCGAGUGCGGGAAGUAGUUCCCGCGGGAGCGGGUGAAACCGCGGGAAACAUAGGUUCAUACAAUGGUACAUACAACUUCCUAUUUAGAAUUGCAUCUCAGGUAUCCGCGACACUGUGGCGCCGUUUUCUAAAUUAGGAAAGAAAAAAGAUGUGUGCUCAUUAUACGUGCUACAUAUUAUCAAAUUGAACUCUAGGAUUCCGAACAUAGAGUUUAAUUUGUAUCAUUAGAGUUUUAGAACUUGUUAAUAUACACGAGUGCAAUAAAUUAAAAAAGUGUCUGUAUUUAAUUGGUAACAAUUACUGCGAGUGUUUGUUUGGGAUAAUCACAUAAGAUGUCGGUGAGUAUUUUUUUUUUCUGAUUUUUAUUAAAAAUAUUUCAUUGUUUAUUACGGCUAUAUUUAGUUUUUUUUGUUCCAGGACUCUGAAGACCUUUUUAAUUUUGUCCCAUACCCGCCAAAGGAACCAAAUGCAGGCGAGUCAUCUAAACUCAAUUUGAAGAGAAAAGGUGGAACAUCAUCAGCUCCACAAAAGCGCCAGCGAGUUCAAGUAUACUCUUAUACUAAAACCAGGGCUCAAAAUAUAUCGGCGUCAUCAAGGACGAUUAAAAUUGAAAUAUAUGAGGGUGAUAACCAGCCUGAAAAGGCUUGCGAGUGCAGUGCGGACAAAUGUGUGCAAUACAUAAUAAAAAAUAGUUGUGAUGAUAUAUACUUCGCUUUAGAAAAUAUAAUUGGAAAAAUUCAUGAAAACAUGCAAUAAUUUUUUUUUAUAUUUAUAUUCACACUCUCAUGACUGUGUAACAUUCUUUUUCAGUUAAGUUUAAAUUAUCUUUGUUUAUAUGUAUAAUCAUAAUUAUUAUACUGUUAUAAUUUUUUUUUACUUUUUCUAUGUAUUUCUUUUGAUGCUAAAUAUUUUACUGUCGAAUAAAGAUGUGUUUUUAUAUUUGCAAACUUAAAAUACGUCACUAUAAUUAAAGAAAAAUAAAUAUAUAAAAUUAUUUACAUUAAUAAAAUAAUUGUUAUUAUACUAUCAUUAUUAUAUUAGCAGUGUCCCGCUGUAUAACAACAGUAGCUAAAAUUAUGUAGUUGAUAUACUUACUAUACCAUACCUAUGUAUGCUAGCUUUAAAAAUAAAUUAGGAAUAUGGUGUUACUUUAAACAUGUUUAAUAAAAAUAUUUCCUAGGUAUUGUGUACACAAUUUGGUUUUAUUUUAAAUCAACUCAUCGCAAUAGAAGAGGCCUAAGUCUAAAAAUUCUUAAAAGGAAUAACCACCUUAUGACUACGCAAUAAGGUCGCAUUUUCAGUGUAAACACUCUUGUACUAAUGUUAGUAUACUAUUAAAAAAGCGUAUUAGUUCGUGCAUACAUAAUAUGAGGUCUCAUAUAAUUGGUUAUAAGAAAGUUUCUUGUUAUGACCGCCGUUAAUUGAGCUCUAAUUCCUUUUACGAUUUUCAUCUCGAAUUGCUUGGUGAAAAGCUAUUAUGGUCGUUAUGAUGAGCAGACAUAUUCCAUAUCUGUAUCAUUAGGAUGCAUUCAUACCUGAUACUAGUAAAAGGAAUUUGUUCAGUUAAAAGUAUGCUCUAAGUACUACUGUCAUAGAGACCAAAUAUCAUAAACAUUUAUUUAUUGUAAUUUUUUUUUGCUAUAAUUUGUUGCAAGGAGUUUGUAUAUGAACACGGCUUUAUUUUUAAAGUUUAUAAAAGUAUGCUCUCGAUGAAUUUGCUUUACUUUACUUUCUUACUCGUAAGUUUACAUAUUUAACUUGGGCUGUGUUCGUUAGUGUCACGAGUUUUUCCUGCGUUUUUUUUUGUGUCGGAAUUCUACAACAGUAAAGUAUGGCUCAGAUUGACAAUCCGUUUUGGUUGUAUGAAGAGGAUUCGCCACAACCUUCAACUGCCGCUAAUAGCAGUUCUAAAAGAAAGCUGAACCAGUGAAGCGGGCUAAAAAGUCCCAAAAGAAAAAAGUUCUGCCGGUGAAAAAUCCAUUUGCUGGGGAAUCAGAUUCCGACAGCGAUACGAUAAAGAUUGCCGAGGAUACUACUCCACCAGCUAUCAAACGAAAGAAAAUUGCUGUUUUUCCUGACUCUGAGGAUGAAUCGCAACAACCGAUUCGAGCGGCGACUUUAAGAAGUGCUUUCUCUCAGCGCGUAGCUUCGGGUUACAGCUACCAAUCAGACCCGACGAAAACAGGGCAAUACUUCUUCGAACUGAGAGUGUACAACACUCGCGAGGCUGAGCGGCUGUCAUACAACGAGCGCUGGAAGCAAGCUCUCGUAACUUUGAAGCUUGCUACUGACCAGAACACUGGUACUUGGGCUGCAUUAACCGGUCUAGUUAAUGCUGGUCGAAAAGAAAUGAGGGAUAUUCGCCCGGUACUGUACCCUAAUCCCAAUAAUUAGCAUAUCAUAGCCUAGCUAUCCUACUAUUUUUUUUUUACUUUUUUUAGAUUCAUGUAAUCCCCAUCUUAGGUUUAUAAUACCCAUUUAACUUUAUAGCAAAUAUUUUAUUGUAUCUUAUUAUUACGUAUGUGCCAUAAGUCUUUUAUUAUUGUUCAUCGAUAUAAAAUAAACCUUGCAGGCUUUACAAAUAACAAUUACAUUUUAUUCCUUCUAAUUGCAUCUAUAUGUAUUCUUUUACAGACAUUUUACACAUGAGAAAUAAAUAAAAAUAUACAUGAGAAAUUGAUUAACUGCACAAAUGAAACAAUAAAUUGAUUAAAAAUUACAAUUGAGACUUUAAAUAAGAUUAACUUUGUUUUAUGAUACAUUUAAAAUUCAAAUUGCAUAUAUUAUGUGUAUUCUCUUACAGCCAUUUAACGCAAGAGAAAUUAAAAAUUGAUGAAAUUUACAAAUGAGAUUGAUAAAACAUAAUAUAAUAUAAAACAUAUAAGAUAAUUGCAUCUAUAUGUAUUCUUUUACAGACAUUUUACACAUGAGAAAUUAAAAAUUGAUGAAAUAUACAAAUGAGAUUGAUAAAACAUAAUAUAAUAUAAAACAUAUAAGAUAAUUGCAUCUAUAUGUAUUCUUUUACAGACAUUUUACA